CGCCUGGGGAGUACGGGUGAGGUAACGGCUCACCAAGGCAUCGACGGGUAGCUGGUCUGAGAGGAUGAUCAGCCACACUGGGACUGAGACACGGCCCAGACUCCUACGGGAGGCAGCAGUGGGGAAUAUUGCACAAUGGGCGAAAGCCUGAUGCAGCAACGCCGCGUGCGGGAUGAAGGCCCUAGGGUUGUAAACCGCUUUCAGCAGGGAAGAAAAUGACGGUACCUGUAGAAGAAGGUGCGGCCAACUACGUGCCAGCAGCCGCGGUGACACGUAGGCACCAAGCGUUGUCCGGAUUUAUUGGGCGUAAAGAGCUCGUAGGCGGUUCAGUAAGUCGGGUGUGAAAACUCUGGGCUCAACCCAGAGACGCCACCCGAUACUGCUGUGACUAGAGUGCGGUAGGGGAGCGGGGAAUUCCUAGUGUAGUGGUGAAAUGCGCAGAUAUUAGGAGGAACACCAGUGGCGAAGGCGCCGCUCUGGGCCGUAACUGACGCUGAGGAGCGAAAGCGUGGGUAGCAAACAGGAUUAGAUACCCUGGUAGUCCACGCCGUAAACGUUGGGCACUAGGUGUGGGUCUCAACCAACGAGAUCCGCGCCGUCACUAACGCAUUAAGUGCCCCGCCUGGGGAGUACGG
rnacentral:rRNA from 1 species